GUGUUAAAAAGAACACUACCAAUCUGAUUCAGGAAAACCAAAGCGAUCAAAGAGGCAAAAGCUAGAUUAUGACCUAACAAUGGAAAAUGCCUCCUCUUGCUCUGAAUGGAUCAAAAGAGCGAUAAAAAGCAUGAGAGGAGGACCCGAACGCAGGGGAGCUUGAGGAACAUCUUAAGAAACUACAAGAAAUGAAUGUAGAUGGUACAUAAUUGUGGAUGAGAAGAGUGAUAGAAAGCGUUUAAGGAUGCAUCUGUUUUUUCACAAGCACAACCUUCUAGGGCCAAGAAAGAAGAAGUUCACUAUUAAGCCGUCUUUCAUAAGACUCAACGCACAAAAACAAGACUGCAGGCUCCAGUAAAUCCUGGAGCCAUAUUGUUUCAAAAUCAGCAAGCUUCACCCUAGCUCCAACUUUUUCCUGCACCACAUCUGCCAGAAUUUCAGGAAUUUCAUUUUCAAACAAAGACAUCCUCAGUAGCUUCAACGGAAGUGUCUUUAGUGGAGAAACCAAAAUGUAGAACAAAAACAUUAGUCGGCUUUCUUACAGUAAGUAAUAAUAUCAAACUUAUCGAUGAGAAGGUGUGUGUUCGUGUUACUCAGAUUAAUGUUUUGAAAGAUGAUGAAGUAGAUUCAGAACAAUCACGGUCGUCGGCGUGUUCUUACAGUAACAACAUCAAACUGAUCGAUUAAAAGAUAUGAAGAAGAUUCAGAACAAAAGAUGAUGCAGAUAUACAUGAAGUUCACUUCUUCCUUUGUAUAAUUAUAGGGAUGACCGGCCCAAGUCAACAACAACACAACAGUGGGAAAAAUCCUCUAAUCCAAGCAUUGUUGAUGAAUAAUAUUUGUUGGCAGUAUUGUUUUCGUGUCUCUCAGUGAUGAGUAUUCAGAGGACCUGGCGUUUCUUCUUCAACUCUCAUCGAACUUGACGAGAAACUCCACAAUGAAAAAAGGGAUGGUGUUGAAUUAUGGACCCAAUCGAUGGAGAUAUAUGUACAAGUUGUUAUUUAAGUGGAACUCGACAAGGCACCAUAAUUCAAAGCAAAACUUGUGAACAAAACGGAUGGUGAUGUUUUCCUAAAAGCGGGUUCUUAAGGAGAUAAGUCAAUGGACCUUAAGAAACUGCAAACUGCUAGAAAGAUGGUUAAUCUACUGAGGAACCCAUAUGUACUCAGGCCAAAAGACCAGUCACAGAUGUCUCAAGCCAAUGGCUGAAAAGCGGAAAGAGUGUCAAAACAUAGCUAGCUCUACCAAACUGAUUUAGGAAAAUAUAAACUAGAGGUACUCUCUGAUUCCACAGGUGUGCGUCUGUGUUGGUGUUCCAACUUCCAACUAGGACGAUGACUCAGAGUUUUUUAAAGAAGUACGAAGUAGAUUCAGAACAAAACCGGUCAACGGCAUGUUCUUAUAGUUACAACAGCAAACUGAUUGGUUAAAAGAUCGGAGAUAUGCUAUGUUUUGAAGACUGAAGAAGAUUCAGAACCAAACAAAAACAAAUUUCUCCUUACGGGAUGACCGGCCCAAGUAAAAAACAACAACAAUGGGAAAAAUCAUAUAUAAAAACAGGUGUUUGUAUUCUAACAAGCACGAUGACUCAGAUUUUUUCAAGGACGUACGAAGUCGAUUCAGAACAAAAACGAUCACCAGUGUGUUCUUACAAUAACAACAUCAACAACAGCAACUAUGAGGAAAACCAUCUUUUCAGAAUCCAAGCAUUGUUGAUGAAUAUUAUCUUGUGAAAGUAUUGCCCUUCGUGUCUUUGCAAGUGACAGAUGUUCAGAGGACGUCGUCUUCAUGGCUCUAAUCUAUUGAAGUGGAACUCGACAAGGCACCAGAUUUCAAAUCAAAACUUGUGAACAAAAAGGAUGGUGUUGUUUUCUCAAGGAGAUUGGUGAAUGGACUCUAAGAAGCUGCAAAGUACUAGAAAAAUGGUUAAUUUGCUGAGGAAUCCGUUUGCACUCAGGCAUAAAAAAAAACAGUCUCAGUUGUCUCUUGCCAAUGGCAGUCAUCAGAAAUUUGAAAAGAGAAAAGAGUGUUGAAAACAUAGCUAACUCUACCAAACUCGUUCAGAGAAAUAAAGCUAUCAAAAGGCAAAGCUAGAUCAUGCAAAAUCAAGACAUGGAUACAAGUGUUAAAAAGAACACUACCAAUCUGAUUCAGGAAAAUCAAAGAGGCAAAAGCUAGAUUAUGACCUAACAAUGGAAAAUGCCUCUUCUUGCUCUUUUCAUCGAUCAAAGUAGAUGGUACAUAUUUGUGGAUGAGAAGAGAGAUAGAAAGCGUCUAAGGAGCUGCAUCUGUGUUUUUUCACAAGCACAACCUUCUAGGGCCAAGAAAGAAGAAGUUCACAAUUAAGCUGUCUUAAUAAGACCCAACGCACAAUAACAAGACUGCAGGCUCCAGUAAAUCCUGGAGCCAUAUUGUUUCAAAAUCAGCAAGCUUCACCCUAGCUCCAGCUUUUUCCUUGUACCACAUAUGCCAGAAUUUCAGGAAUUUCAUUUUCAAACAAAGACAUCCUCAGUAGCUUCAACGUAAGUCUUAAGUGGAGAAUCCAAAAUGUAGAACUCUAUGAUUACUUUGAGAAUCAUGUGAAAGGCAGUUGAGAAUGUGUUGUGUCCACGUGAUAUUUAAACUUAAGAGGUAAUUUUUACAAAGUUUAGACUCAUCAUAAGGACUAUUCUUCACUCUGCAUGAAAAAAGAGCCGUAAGGACUAUUUCUUUACAAAGCAAGCAAGCUUUGGGAAAUAACAAAAUUUUGAGGAUGCAGAGUUCAACAAAAAGAUUUCAGAUGCCAGUAGUACUCUCGGUGAUGUGGACGUCUGAGCAUAUAGAAAACAAGGAGAACAUUCCUUACCCAGACCACCCCAGGAGUUUUCUCAAGGAGAUAUGUCGAUGGACCUUAAGAAGCUGCAAACUGCUAGAAAAAUGGUUAAUCUGCUGAGGAAUCCAUCUGCACUCAGGCCAAAAAACCAGUCACAACUGUCAUCAGAAAAUUGUGAAAAGGGAAACAUAGAAAGCUCUACCAAACAGAUUUAGGGAAACAAAUCAAGAUAGAAACCAGCGACUUUGUUUUACAUGACAAUACAAGGUCUUGUUAACACCGAAGUUUGAAAUUCGACCUGUGAAAAAGCAGAGAACAAGAAGAUUUUGGAUGCUCCAGCUUUCAACUACAUUACGUGAUGGAAAGAUCCUCUUCUUUCUCUCAUAUUAGAAGUUAUCUUAGAAUUGUGGAUCACACUAAAAUCAACGAAGGUAAUAUCACAAUAAAAAACAAACAACUCUGCUACACAAGAAAAGUAAUGGUACAAUAAAAGGCAAAUGCCAGGUUUUUUGUAUCUUCUUUGGGAGAUUGAAUCACUGUUAAAUGAGUCUAACAGCAACAUUGCCUUCCUACUGCUUGCACACCCAAACCACCACUGCAGUUUUCUUAAGGAGGAAAGUUGAUGGACCUUAAGAAGCAACAAACUAGGCUGAAUAAUCCAUCUGAACUUAACUUUGGUCUCAUGUUCCUCUCGUAAUGGUUUUUGUUUUGUGUUAUCUAUCUCACUGCAGGGAAACAAGUGUUAAAAAAAUGUAGCUAACUCUCUAUCAGCACUAAACUUACUGCUAGAGAGUUACUUGAUCUGCUGAAGAAUCCAUUUGCACUCCGGCCAAAGAACAUAUAAAAAAUGUAAUUUCUUUUUUUUUUUCCCACAACAUAAGAUUAUAAACACCUCUCUUACUCUGUUUAUAUAAAUGGGCACACUAAAAAACUCUUUUUUUUA